CCAGACUCCUACGGGAGGCAGCAGUGAGGAAUAUUGGUCAAUGGCCGAGAGGCUGAACCAGCCAAGUCGCGUGAGGGAUGACGGCCCUACGGGUUGUAAACCUCUUUUGUCGGGGAGCAAAUUCCGUUACGUGUAACGGAGUCGAGAGUACCCGAAGAAAAAGCAUCGGCUAACUCCGUGCCAGCAGCCGCGGUAAUACGGAGGAUGCGAGCGUUAUCCGGAUUUAUUGGGUUUAAAGGGUGCAUAGGCGGACUGUCAAGUCAGCGGUAAAAUUGCGGGGCUCAACCUCGUCGAGCCGUUGAAACUGGCGUUCUUGAGUGGGCGAGAAGUAUGCGGAAUGCGUGGUGUAGCGGUGAAAUGCAUAGAUAUCACGCAGAACUCCAAUUGCGAAGGCAGCAUACCGGCGCCCAACUGACGCUGAAGCACGAAAGCGUGGGUAUCGAACAGGAUUAGAUACCCGCGUA
rnacentral:rRNA from 1 species